GCCAGCAGCCAUCACCCUGCAGCUCUCAAAUGGCUACCCACUGAAGCUAAGCAGGGUUGAGCCUCGUCAGUACCUGCAUGGGAGACCUCCUGGGAAGCUAUAGUUGCUGCUGGAA
rnacentral:rRNA from 1 species